rnacentral:lncRNA from 1 species
CUUGUCAUUGCGUGUGUUUUUCCAAACCGCUGUUUUUCUAGUUUAUCAAAAUUACAAUUUGCAACAACUAAAUUCCAGAAAUUAAAUGAAAAUGGAGACAAAGUAUAUGUUCGUUUCUCAAAGUUAAUGGUGGCAGUUCAACAGGUUAAUACAAAAAUUGGACAAUAGAUCUCAAAAGAAUGAUUAAAUAGAUACAAGUUUUUGCUCCAAUCGACUAGGGAGACAUUAUCAUGGAUAAUAUAAGAAUAAGAAUUUGUUUCCAAAGUAAAAAAUGAAUUGUUAACCAAAUUGUUUCUUUGUGUUGAAAUUGAAAGACAACAUGGAGCAGCGUGAGAGAGAAGAUGGAGCGGCGACGGCAGGAGUUGAAAAUUGUACACACGCAUGGAUACAAAGAUACAGGAGG